rnacentral:rRNA from 1 species
AUUGAACGCUGGCGGCGUGCCUAACACAUGCAAGUCGAGCGGUAACAGGUGUAGCAAUACAUGCUGACGAGCGGCGGACGGGUGAGUAACGCUUGGGAAUCUGCCUAUUAGUGGGGGACAACCCGGGGAAACUCGGGCUAAUACCGCAUACGCUCUACGGAGGAAAGCCGGGGACCGCAAGGCCUGGCGCUAAUAGAUGAGCCCAAGUCGGAUUAGCUAGUUGGUAGGGUAAGGCCUACCAAGGCGACGAUCCGUAACUGGUCUGAGAGGACGACCAGUCACACCGGAACUGAGACACGGUCCGGACUCCUACGGGAGGCAGCAGUGGGGAAUAUUGGACAAUGGGCGAAGGCCUGAUCCAGCGACGCCGCGUGGGUGAAGAAGGCCUGCGGGUUGUAAAGCCCUUUCAGUGGGGAAGAAAGGCCUCGACCUAACACGUCGGGGUCUUGACGUAACCCAUAGAAGAAGCACCGGCUAACUCUGUGCCAGCAGCCGCCGCCGUAAG